AAUCCAGAGAUGGAUUUGUGCCUUCGGGAACCGUGAGACAGGUGCUGCAUGGCUGUCGUCAGCUCGUGUUGUGAAAUGUUGGGUUAAGUCCCGCAACGAGCGCAACCCUUAUCCUUUGUUGCCAGCGAUUAGGUCGGGAACUCAAAGGAGACUGCCAGUGAUAAACUGGAGGAAGGUGGGGAUGACGUCAAGUCAUCAUGGCCCUUACGACCAGG
rnacentral:rRNA from 1 species